GCUGGCGGCAGGCCUAACACAUGCAAGUCGAGCGAGAAAGCACUUCGGUGCGAGUAGAGCGGCGGACGGGUGAGUAACGCGUAGGAAUCUACCUGGUAGUGGGGGACAACUCGGGGAAACUCGAGCUAAUACCGCAUACGCCCUUCGGGGGAAAGCGGGGGAUCUUCGGACCUCGCGCUAUUGGAUGAGCCUGCGUCGGAUUAGCUUGUUGGUGAGGUAAAAGCUCACCAAGGCGACGAUCCGUAGCUGGUCUGAGAGGAUGAUCAGCCACACUGGGACUGAGACACGGCCCAGACUCCUACGGGAGGCAGCAGUGGGGAAUAUUGCGCAAUGGGGGCAACCCUGACGCAGCCAUGCCGCGUGUGUGAAGAAGGCCUUAGGGUUGUAAAGCACUUUCAAUUGGGAAGAAAAGCUUGUCGUUAAUAGCGGCAAGCCCUGACAUUACCUUUAGAAGAAGCACCGGCUAACUCCGUGCCAGCAGCCGCGGUAAUACGGAGGGUGCGAGCGUUAAUCGGAAUUACUGGGCGUAAAGCGCGCGUAGGUGGUUUGUUAAGUCAGCUGUGAAAGCCCCGGGCUCAACCUGGGAAUUGCAGUUGAUACUGGCCGACUAGAGUACGAGAGAGGGAGGUAGAAUUCCAUGUGUAGCGGUGAAAUGCGUAGAUAUAUGGA
rnacentral:rRNA from 1 species